rnacentral:misc_RNA from 1 species
GGUGAAGAACGUAGCAAAAUGCGAUAAGUAAUGUGAAUUGCAGAAUUCAGUGAAUCAUCGAAUCUUUGAACGCACAUUGCGCCCGCUGGUAUUCCGGCGGGCAUGCCUGUUCGAGCGUCAUUUCAACCCUCAAACCCCCGGGUUUGGUGUUGGGGAUCGGCUCUGCCUCACGGCGGUGCCGCCCCCGAAAUACAUUGGCGGUCUCGCUGCAGCCUCCAUUGCGUAGUAGCUAACACCUCGCAACUGGAACGCGGCGCGGCCAUGCCGUAAAACCCCAACUUCUGAAUGUUGACCUCGGAUCAGGUAGGAAUACCCGCUGAACUUAAGCAUAUCAAUAAGCGGAGGA